UACGAUAAAUGCUAAUUUUCUAGAAAUAAUAAGUCGUCUUUAUUACAGAGCCAUCAAAAACGAUUUAUAAAAGAUACUAUUCUAACCAUUAGUGGUUACAUGUCAGCCAUGUAACCCAUCUAAGAAACAAAAUGGAAAAUUGUCGUUUCGGCGCAUAAUAUUGUUUGUUGCAAGAACUUGGAGAUACUUCGGGUAGGUUGAGCUGCGAUCGACGAAAAGGAUUCCGCUUGAAUUACUUGUGUUAUAUUUUUCGAAGUCCACAAUCCUAUAUACUAGUUGUCAGUUAGAUUUUUUAACUUCUUCUUACUUUGCUGAUUUCUCAGUGAGAGUUAAAAGAAGAGAUAGGCAUUUUAAAUAAGAAUGACAUGUGUAUCUUUUAUAUGAAGUACAUGACUUUUUAAAUAAGGAACCAUUUGAUAAGGUAUCCUUUGAGUAAGUGAGAUCAUUGCAAGAUUUUCAAUGAAUUCUCCAAUUUUGU
rnacentral:lncRNA from 1 species